GGCUUCAUACCUCAGUUGGUAGAGCAUCGCACUAGUAACGUGGAGGUCAUGGGUUCAAAUCGCGUUGAAGCCA
rnacentral:tRNA from 1 species